rnacentral:rRNA from 1 species
CGCCUUCAUGAAGCCGGAAUUGCUAGUAAUGGCAGGUCAGCAUACUGCCGUGAAUACGUUCCCGGGCCUUGUACACACCGCCCGUCACACCAUGAGAGUUGGGAAUACCCGAAGCCUGUGAGCUAACGUUAAGAGGCAGCAGUCGAAGGUAGAAUCAAUGAUUGGGGUGAAGUCGUAACAAGGUACC